rnacentral:rRNA from 1 species
CCUACGGGGUGCAGCAGUGAGGAAUAUUGGUCAAUGGACGAGAGUCUGAACCAGCCAAGUAGCGUGAAGGAUGACUGCCCUAUGGGUUGUAAACUUCUUUUAUAAAGGAAUAAAACGAGGCACGUGUGCCUUUUUGCAUGUACUUUAUGAAUAAGGAUCGGCUAACUCCGUGCCAGCAGCCGCGGUAAUACGGAGGAUCCGAGCGUUAUGCGGAGUGAUUGGGUUUAAAGGGAGCGUAGAUGGGUUGUUAAGUCAGUUGUGAAAGUUUGCGGCUCAACCGUAAAAUUGCAAUUGAUACUGGCAGUCUUGAGUACAGUUGAGGUAGGCAGAAUUCGUGGUGUAGCGGUGAAAUGCUUAGAUAUCACGAAGAACCCCGAUUGCGAAGGCAGCUUACUAGACUGUGACUGACAUUGAUGCUCGAAAGUGUGGGUAUCAAACAGGAUUAGAUACCCUAGUAGUC